GCGCGGUUAGUAUAGCGGUUCAGUACUCUCGUUUCCCAAACAGGAUACAGGUGGCGGGCAAAGAAUGAACGAGUGACCCGGGUUCGACUCCCGGACUGCGCA